GAUUUUCUUCUCCCCCAGAGAACUCAAAGGCGAAAGAAUAAGUUGAAAGCAUUUGAUUUGUCGACUUUAACAGACUGCCUUCCUGAAUUGAAGUCGUCGUCUCCUCGACUACAACCUGCACCAAAAUUACUGAAUUGCAGAGCCAGACAACAGUUGGUAUUGAAAGAAAUAGUUCGAAUGAGAAGCGUUCUGAAUGAUCCAAGUUAUCAGGAUAAUCCAUUGGCAGCCAUUCAUGAACACUUGCUGAGUACACAACCUGCUGAUGAGAAACCAGAGAGAAAGAAAGGUAGCAGCAAUGACAAAAAGAAGAAGAAGAAGAAGUCUAAAGUCAUUAAACCUAAACCUGAAUUGAUGGAGUUCUGAUUGUUUUUUCAAUCCAAACAAAGGUUGUACUUAAAAAUGAUAUCUAAAAUGUUGGAAAAUUUUGAUUUU